CAAAGCGAACAGAGAGCCGGUAGGGUAUCUUGGGGUUAGGGGUUUGGCUUAUGAAGCGAGGGGUCUAGUUCUUUCUUAGGAAGCGGGGGGCUCUCGAAAAAUGCGCAGAGGCGGCUGCGGCUUCGGCUGCUUUGGGAUCGCAGCUCUACAACAGCCGCUUCCUCUCGGGCUCAAGAGCUGUGCGGGAAGGGCCGCUGACGAUAGGGCCGGUAGACGGGUAGAGGCUUUAGGGGUGUCUAGAAAAACCAGGGAAAGGGGCCGUAGAGGUACUCUGAGCGCUCCUCCGGGGGUAGCUACACAAAUCUAAGCUUUAGCGGGGUCUAGAUAAGCCGAGAUGGGUGGUAGCAGAGGAACUACGCAAGCUCCUCCUCCUUCUCCUCCUCCUCCUCCUCCUCCGCCGCCACCACAACCGCAUCUUCUUUCUCUCUCCCAAGGAGCUCUCGCUUAGUCUCAGACUCAGGCUCAAGGAAUUGACCCUGCUGUAAGGGCACGCACUAGGACAACUACCGGAGUUGAACAGGCUGAACUACCUAAUGCUAGGCGACCGUGACCUACGGCUGCUGCUCCUCUGUUUGACGGGUCCCUUCUUUAAAGGCCACCGUCGUCGUUGUUUUCAUCUGCUGUAUACCUCAACCUAAAUGUGGUCUGCCUUGUAGCGCAUGGUCUUCUUCACACUCCUCUAACUUCGUUCACUUCUACUCUUACGGUGUAAAGGAAGAAUAGGAGAGUUUUAUGAGGGACUCCGUUGUCCAUAUACACAGUACUCCCCGAAAACGGUGGUGGCACUUAUAUUUUGGGUACUAUGAAGGUGACGAUCUAGUUGAGAACCCAAUGCACUAGGUUCUGACUACGACGUCUAGAAGCGCUACGUAAAUAGUUAGAGGCUUAGGAUAAGGAUGGGGCAAUCGCAGAUACCUUAACAACGACAAGCCCUACGGAACCUCGGUGAUGCCUUAGAACACAAAUUGGCAGGGACGUCUCUAUUACGAAAAUACCAACUGGUCCUAAGGAAUUGGAACGGAGAAACAUCAGGAGCAGCUCCUUACAUAAAUCAGUCCCUGUCUCGUAAUGAUCUUCAACUAGAAACCCAUUUCCUCCUUCCUCUACCCAUUAGACUGUUCGUCAACGAAAGAAACAUACGACUCAAACUCCCCUACAUGGUCAAUCUACUUUACGAUCUACCUCUCCAAUCAUCACUGGAACCGUCGAACCAGUAGCUGAUAGAGAACGAACUACUCUCACAACUCCGACAUUAUGUUCAGAGACGUUUCUAACUGACGGGAGUAGUAUACUCUAAGUGACGUAAGUGAUCACCGAAACUACCACUCUAACACGACAAACUGCUAUUCAAGAGACCCUUACCUUUUGACAAGGUCAUACAACAGCGCCACUUCCGACUCCCCUUUAACCUGUAAACGAAUUUUAACCUCCUUAGUAACAAAACCACCUGAAAGGUCCUUCCUCGACAACCUCGACAAUCCAAGGGACUACUGAGCCAAAACUUAAUGCCCGUCAAACUCCACUGCCACGAAAAACGAGGAUUCUUGAAAUGUUACCGACCGACUGGACUUCGUUUGACUUGUUCUGUAUGUCAAGACAUUAUAGGCACAAGAAAUAGAAGAUAUCAAAGAGACAUUGAAUUAUAUCAUGUACCAGAUACGUACCGAUC
rnacentral:rRNA from 1 species